rnacentral:tRNA from 1 species
AUCAGAUUAGCAAAGAUUAUGCAAUUGACUUAGGAUCAAUAGACAUAGGUGAAAAUCCUUUAUCUGAUA